rnacentral:rRNA from 1 species
UACAGAGACCUCAAGCGUUAUUCGGAUUCACUGGGCGUAAAGGGUGCGCAGGCGGCCAAGUGUGUGAGGCGUGAAAGCCCGGGGCUUAACCCCGGAAUUGCACCUCAAACUACAUGGCUAGAGCAUUGGAGAGGGUAGCAGAAUUCAUGGUGUAGCAGUGAAAUGCGUAGAUAUCAUGAGGAAUACCAGAGGCGAAGGCGGCUACCUGGACAAUUGCUGACGCUCAGGCACGAAAGCGUGGGGAGCAAAAGGG